UCAUAUAAAGGGUUACAUACAAUAAAACCUAAUAAUUAGACCAAUAAAAUAAAAACAAGAAUAACCCAAUAAGAAUAGGAGUACACAGAUAAAAACCAGGGGUGCAACUCGAAAUUUCUUAUCCAGGCCAAAGAUAGGGGUACAGCAGUAAAGUUGGAGGCGCCAGAAAUGAAAUGAGCCCAAUGUCCAAACCUCUCCUUUUUUUUGUUUGCAGAAAAGAAUGGGCUUAAACCCAAACGGAAUAGGGGUGUGAAUGGGAGAGGGGUGUGUGCAAAGGGAGGAUGGAGUGUUUUAUUUAAAAAAAAACAUGGAUCUAGCCCAAGGUUUUUUUUCAAACAGAAGCAUUAGGGGUUAGGAGUUCUGCCCCUUCUCUCAUUCUUCCAUCUCACUCGACCAUCACGAACACAAGACGCGUAUCUCUCUUCUCCCAGCCAGGAGCCCUAACGAAGGGUCGUCAUCUCUUCGCCCACAAUGCCGCCCCCGCCAGAUCGACCACCGCGUGUCGCCGUCCAAGCCAUCGCCAGCUCAGCCGCCCACCGUCGAUACCAUCGCCGGCCGUCGCUCUAGCUCUUCCCCUCUUUCUUUUUCGCGUGCGAGGGAGGAACUCGCCUUUCACCCUGCAACGUCACCGCCACCCCCGAUGAGGCCAACCACCGCGAGCCGUGAGCCAAGGUCGCGCCAGCGAUGCAGCUCGUCGCCGGAGUCGUUGCCGGUCACGGCGCCAGACCCUCCUUUCCUUCUCUUCUUCCCGCGUUAGAGAAACUCUCACGCUUCUCCGUCAAUCCCCGCUUGAACGAUCACGGCUGCCUCGAACCGGAGCACCACCAGUGUCACGGGUCACGACCACGGUCGCCGCCGGUCCUCGCGUCGACGUCCUCCACCGCCACGACCAAAUCCACCUCUACCCCUAAAACCGUCACAGUCACAACCACUCCUGAAAUCGCCACCGCGCCUACCACCUCUUGGAGUCCCAAUGUUUAGUUAUCAGAGAAUACAGCUAUAAAGCUAUAAAGAUUUGCCAAGACAAUGUUUGGGGGUUUAGGGUUUUAUUCUGUUGCUGUGGUGUGCUUAUGGUUUUUUAUGAUUCAACUUUGUUAAUGGUUGGAGAUGAACAGAGGCGUUGGAGGCUAUGGAAGAUCGGAGAGCUCGUGUUGCUCGGUGGCUUCGAAGCGGAGAGACAGAAGAGGUGAUGGGAUACAGCAAGGCUAUGAUUAUGAUGCUGGAGUUGGGGAUGAUGGAGUGGCAAAGAAUACACAUAACCUAAUCAUGUAUAUCAAAUAUGAUUACAUGUUUAGACAAAGCCAGGUCUUACCAAACCAACACAAGAGCAUAUAUCAACCCAAAUGAACGCAGAUAUCAACCCAAUUAUGAAUAGAUCACAUCAUAUUGUGAGCAAUAAGCUUUAAGAAGAUGAACUUGCCUUUUGUCUCUGCGUUCAAGUUUUUUCUUUGAAUCCUGGUUGAUGGUGAUAUCUUUUUUCUUUGAAUCCUGGUUGAUGGUGAUAUCCGAUGAGUGAAUGGACGAGGAUUUUGUUUUUGCGGUUAAUGGUGUAGGUUGAGGGAAUAGUGGGUUCCUGUGAUGUGCAUGAUGGAGGAGAUAGAGAAGAGGUGAGAGGUGAAUGACGGAUGUUGUUGGAGGGGAGUCCAGGGUUCUUUGGGUUCCCCCUGGUCAUGAGGUGUGAGACGCGAUAUGGAAGUCAGAAGAUGAAUUCCAUCAUCCCUCCCCCUUAGCCAUAUUCACUGGGUCAGAUGAAACCAAAGUCAAAAGCGUGGCCUGUGCAAUGGUUGCUUCCUGCAACAGCCCCUACUCUGCUCUGCUGUGUUUCCUCUUAAGGUAGGCUAGCUA